rnacentral:rRNA from 1 species
UACGUAGGGGGCAAGCGUUAUCCGGAUUUACUGGGUGUAAAGGGAGCGUAGACGGAAUUGCAAGUCUGAUGUGAAAAUCCGGGGCCCAACCCCGGAACUGCAUUGGAAACUGUAUUUCUAGAGUGUCGGAGAGGCAAGUGGAAUUCCUGGUGUAGCGGUGAAAUGCGUAGAUAUCAGGAGGAACACCAGUGGCGAAGGCGGCUUGCUGGACGGUGACUGACGUUGAGGCUCGAAAGCGUGGGGAGCAAACAGG